AUAUCUGUCUGUCUGUCUGUCUGUCUGUCUGUCUGUCUAUAUGUCUGUCACAGACAGACAGACAGACAGACACUAUAUGU
rnacentral:miRNA from 14 species